rnacentral:rRNA from 1 species
GACGAACGCUGGCGGCGUGCUUAACACAUGCAAGUCGAACGGAAAGGCCCUGCUUUUGUGGGGUGCUCGAGUGGCGAACGGGUGAGUAACACGUGAGUAACCUGCCCUUGACUUUGGGAUAACUUCAGGAAACUGGGGCUAAUACCGGAUAGGAGCUCCUGCUGCAUGGUGGGGGUUGGAAAGUUUCGGCGGUUGGGGAUGGACUCGCGGCUUAUCAGCUUGUUGGUGGGGUAGUGGCUUACCAAGGCUUUGACGGGUAGCCGGCCUGAGAGGGUGACCGGCAACAUUGGGACUGAGAUACGGCCCGGACUCCUACGGGAGGCAGCAGUGGGGAAUAUUGAGCAAUGGGCGGAAGCCUGAUGCAGCAACGCCGGGUGCGGGAUGACGGCAGUCGGGUUGGAAACAGCUUUCGCCGGUGACGAAGCGUGAGUGACGGGAAUGGGUAAAGAAGCACCGGCUAACUACGUG